UCCAGGGUGGCUCGGACGGUAAAGAACCUGCCUGUAAUCCAGGAGACCCAGGUUCGAUCCCUGGAUCAGGAA
rnacentral:tRNA from 1 species